rfam:Schistosoma mattheei strain Denwood, Zambia genome assembly, scaffold: SMTD_scaffold0015806
GCACUGCUAAAGAGUCCUACACCAGGACGAAACGGCCGUCUAGUGC